rnacentral:rRNA from 1 species
AUUGAACGCUGGCGGCAGGCCUAACACAUGCAAGUCGAGCGGCGCUUCGGACGGGUGAGUAAUGCCUAGUAAUCUGCCUGUUAGUGAGGGAUCCCGUCCGCAAACGGGCGCUAAUACCGCAUACUAUCAGAUGAGCCUAGGUCGGAUUAGCUAGUUGUUGGGGUAAAGGCUUACCAAGGCGACGAUCCGUAACUGGUCGGAGAGGAUGAUCAGUCCCACUGGAAUUGAGACACGGUCCAGACGCCUACGGGAGGCAGCAGUGGGGAAUGUUGGACAAUGGGCGAAAGCCUGAUCCAGCCAUGCCGAGUGUGUGAAGAAGGUCUUCGGAUAGUAAAGGAAUUUAAGUUGGGAAGCGGUACCAACAGAAUAAGGACCGGCUAACUUCGUGCCAGCAGCCGCGGUAAUAC